rnacentral:sRNA from 1 species
GGUCUACGUCAGCCCCGGGCCCGCGCCCGCCGGAGACACCACGAACUCUGUCUGAUCUAGUGAAGUCUGAGUUGAUUGUAUCGCAAUCAGUUAAAACUUUCAACAAUGGAUCUCUUGGUUCCGGCAUCGAUGAAGAACGCAGCGAAAUGCGAUAACUAGUGUGAAUUGCAGAAUUCCGUGAAUCAUCGAGUCUUUGAACGCACAUUGCGCCCCCUGGUAUUCCGGGGGGCAUGCCUGUCCGAGCGUCAUUGCUGCCCAUCAAGCACGGCUUGUGUGUUGGGUCGUCGUCCCCUCUCCGGGGGGGACGGGCCCCAAAGGCAGCGGCGGGCCCGCCGGAGACCCCAACACGAACACUGUCUGAAAGCGUGCAGUCUGAGUUGAUUGAAUGCAAUCAGUUAAAACUUUCAACAAUGGAUCUCUUGGUUCCGGCAUCGAUGAAGAACGCAGCGAAAUGCGAUAACUAAUGUGAAUUGCAGAAUUCAGUGAAUCAUCGAGUCUUUGAACGCACAUUGCGCCUGGUACGUUUUCCAACCAUUCCAGGUUGACCUCGGAUCAGGUAGGGAUACCCGCUGAACUUAAGCAUAUCAUAACGGGGAAGAAACUCCUUGGAAUAAGAGGGCGAUAAUAUUGGGCC